rnacentral:rRNA from 1 species
GCGAGCGAACGGGGAGGAGCCCAGAGCCUGAAUCAGUGUGUGUGUUAGUGGAAGCGUCUGGAAAGGCGCGCGAUACAGGGUGACAGCCCCGUACACAAAAAUGCACAUGCUGUGAGCUCGAUGAGUAGGGCGGGACACGUGGUAUCCUGUCUGAAUAUGGGGGGACCAUCCUCCAAGGCUAAAUACUCCUGACUGACCGAUAGUGAACCAGUACCGUGAGGGAAAGGCGAAAAGAACCCCGGCGAGGGGAGUGAAAAAGAACCUGAAACCGUGUACGUACAAGCAGUGGGAGCCUCUUUAUGGGGUGACUGCGUACCUUUUGUAUAAUGGGUCAGCGACUUAUAUUCUGUAGCAAGGUUAACCGAAUAGGGGAGCCGAAGGGAAACCGAGUCUUAACUGGGCGUUAAGUUGCAGGGUAUAGACCCGAAACCCGGUGAUCUAGCCAUGGGCAGGUUGAAGGUUGGGUAACACUAACUGGAGGACCGAACCGACUAAUGUUGAAAAAUUAGCGGAUGACUUGUGGCUGGGGGUGAAAGGCCAAUCAAACCGGGAGAUAGCUGGUUCUCCCCGAAAGCUAUUUAGGUAGCGCCUCGUGAAUUCAUCUCCGGGGGUAGAGCACUGUUUCGGCAAGGGGGUCAUCCCGACUUACCAACCCGAUGCAAACUGCGAAUACCGGAGAAUGUUAUCACGGGAGACACACGGCGGGUGCUAACGUCCGUCGUGAAGAGGGAAACAACCCAGACCGCCAGCUAAGGUCCCAAAGUCAUGGUUAAGUGGGAAACGAUGUGGGAAGGCCCAGACAGCCAGGAUGUUGGCUUAGAAGCAGCCAUCAUUUAAAGAAAGCGUAAUAGCUCACUGGUCGAGUCGGCCUGCGCGGAAGAUGUAACGGGGCUAAACCAUG